GCUGAAUAGCUGCAGAACCCCCAACAUUGUGCUCUUUAUCACAGGUUUCUGGGACUCCUCUUUGAACUCUUCAAGAGGCCCUGCAGAGCCACUCAGAAGCUCAGCCCCUGGGACCCCUGCAUCCUCCGGCCGGCCUGCAACCCAUUUAGCAAAUUGUUCCUGUGAAAUCGAGCUCUCGGUGGGAAAUGACCGUCUGUGGUUUGUGAAUCCCAUUUUCAUAGAGGACUGCACCCUACCGGCUGAUCCACCUCCACUGCCCAUUGGCAGCUACCCUACACGCCCUGCGCCUGCCGCCCCGGAUGCUACCUCACUCACCUCCAAGGGGUCCCCACGUCGUCCCCCACCUCCACCCCCGGUACCCACUGUUCCUCCUACUGGCCCUGCCUGGCCUCCUGCGCCUCCUGUACAGCCUGCUGAUCCUUUGCCCAACUCCCCAACACCCAACUCUCACCUUGCACCCCAUGCACCGGGCCCCCCUGGUCACUCAAACCAACCACCCAUGACUGCCUGCGAGAGUCUCCCACGUCCAUCUGUAGGCCUGGGCCCCUUUGGAGAGGAAGAGAUGAAGCCUGGGACAACUCCCAGCCCCUUGCACCAGGCCCCUCCCCCUCCGCUACCCUUGAAGAA
rnacentral:lncRNA from 1 species